UACAGAGGUCCCGAGCGUUGUUCGGAUUCACUGGGCGUAAAGGGUGCGUAGGUGGUUGGGUAAGUCUGAUGUGAAAUCUCCGGGCUCAACCCGGAAAUGGCAUUGGAUACUAUUCGGCUAGAGGUUUGGAGGGGGGACUGGAAUUCUCGGUGUAGCAGUGAAAUGCGUAGAGAUGCGGAGGAACACCGAUGGCGAAGGCAGCCCCCCUGGGCUGACACGUGACGCUCGAGGCACGAAAGCGUGGGGAGCAAACAGG
rnacentral:rRNA from 1 species